GUGGGGAAUAUUGGGCAAUGGGCGAAAGCCUGACCCAGCAACGCCGCGUGAAGGAAGAAGGCUUUCGGGUUGUAAACUUCUUUUGUCAGGGACGAAAAAAAUGACGGUACCUGACGAAUAAGCCACGGCUAACUACGUGCCAGCAGCCGCGGUAAUACGUAGGUGGCAAGCGUUAUCCGGAUUUACUGGGUGUAAAGGGCGUGUAGGCGGGAAAGCAAGUCAGAUGUGAAAACUAUGGGCUCAACCCAUAGCCUGCAUUUGAAACUGUUUUUCUUGAGUACUGGAGAGGCAGAUGGAAUUCCUAGUGUAGCGGUGAAAUGCGUAGAUAUUAGGAGGAACACCAGUGGCGAAGGCGAUCUGCUGGACAGCAACUGACGCUGAGGCGCGAAAGCGUGGGGAGCAAACAGGAUUAGAUACCCUUGUAGUCC
rnacentral:rRNA from 1 species